UUCAAUUAGGAUGUUGCCUGUAUAGGCAGCAGACAGCCGUGUGGUUCACUAGGUUUGGAGUGUGUGUGUGUGUGUGUGUGUGUGUGCUGCUGACCCUCCUCUAAUGGCUCUGAUGAUAGAUCAGUUGUGUGCUGCUGAUGAUAAUUAAUUCUCUCGGUGUGUUUUAGGACGGGUCGGCGCUGACGCUCUGUCAGUCAGAUGGUUCUCAGGAGAGUCUUUUGUUUUGAAUAGGGGGAAAAUCUGAGCCGCCGAGAAGAGAUUCCCAGCCCGAUCAAUUCCCUCUAACUACACUAUUGAUUAGCUGCAGUAACAUUUUUCAUUUAUUAAUUAUGAGGAAUAUGUACUUGGAAGUGUCUCUCUGUCUCUCCUGAUAGGGUCAUCAGCCAUAAGCUGAUAUCAUUUGGUGCUUGUAUGAAUGUGCUAUAGACAUAUUGUCGUCAUUAAGGACACACUGACACGUCUUUGUCUCUGAAAUAUGACUCUGCAUCUUCCAUACUUCUCUUUCUGACAGGGAGGUUUUAUUUUUAGGUUUAAAAUGAUUAAGCUCUGGCUUUAAUGGUGUUUCAGUGCUAGUACAUAUAGUACAAUGUCAUUAACACCUAAAAAUGUCAUUGAAUUACAUGACAAAAUAUGAAUAAACAUGCACAAAUACACCUUUAAUGCCAAGAAUAUUGACAAAAAGUACAUGCAUCUAAUAAAAACCACAACAUAUUUAAGUAUUUAAUUGAUACUGUGAUCUUUUUAGGAAGUGUCCAAAUACGUGCUUCCACGGAAAUGACAUCUUAUAUUUGGGUCUUAAACACACUCAUAUGUGACGUGGAGCAUCUGUUUAUGUGCUUAAAGAUGGUGAUAUUGAUUGUGUUAAUUAUGGCUUGACUUUCACCUCCUCAGGACGGAUACGGCUGUGUUCAUGAGUGUGAAGAUCACACAUGUGUCAUUCCCGAGGAAGAAUGAUGCCUCGCCUUCGGCCACAAGAUCUUGCACCUGAAAGAUAUAAAACCGCACCCAGCGUCUCACACUCGUGACUCACCGUUUCCCGCCUCCCUCGACAAGACAGAAAUUACCCUCAAACUGAUUCUACGAUCAAUAACAACGUGCCCACCAAUCAAGAGCGCCGACCCGGGGUUAAGAUCCAAUCAGCAGCUCACACUCCUCCUGCUUCAAGAGUCUGAGCAGACGCAAACAAACAAGACGUUUACAGGUCUGAGGAGAGACACACAAACCAGACGUUAUUCAUAGAAACACGAUCAAAGAUUUGAAAUAAAUAUGAUUCUGAGAUUUAUUCUUUGCUAUGAUUUUAUUUAUUUAUUUAUUGCAAAUAUAUAUGUUGAGAAAUGUACAUAAAUUAGAUAUAAAAAUAGAUGUAUGGAAGAACAGUGGAAAAUAGAUCAGAAGUGAACAGUGAAGCCUAUUUAUAAAUAUCCACUAGAGAAUGACUGCUUAUGCUAUUAAUAACAUUGAUGCAAUGGUGUGAUUUACAGCAGUGAGAAUGAGGCCGUAAACACGAGAUCCCACCGUCAGAAAUGAAAGUGAAUGUCUCUAACUGCCCGUGUGCAAAAGGUCACGCUUGUUCCCGUGGAGACGGGCCUUUAGAAUGCAGCUGUCAAUCAUAGCUGUUGCUACUGGAGACAGACGAGAGAAAUAGAUCUGAAAACAGAAGAAAGGCACACUAGAGUGAGUCCAGUUUGGACCGUGGUUGUUUUUCACUGCAUUUAAAGCAGUAAGCCUCCUUUACUAAAGUAAAAUCACCAACACAUGGCCUCAAAAAUAAUGGCCACAUGGCCUUUCAUAAAAAUUUCACACAAUCAUAUAUGCUUUAAAAAACCUGGAUUAAUGUAACUAGUUUUAUUAUUUCAGAUUUAAAGCCACUAGUCUAUGAUAUUUUGUUGUUGUUGUUCAAAUUAAUUUGAAAAUUAUGGAAAUUGAAAAUUAUAUGGACAGUUUUUUUUUUUUUUUUUUUUUUUGUGGUUAUUUCGUGUUUUGGUGAUCAAAGUUUAAAUUAUGACAUUUAAAUGAAUUCAUAAUUAUGGCAUAAAACAUUGAAGUUAUGAAAUAAUGCAUAAUUGUAUUGUGAUUGCUUAUUUAUUUAUUUAUUGUUUAUUUUUUAAUUAUUU
ensembl:lncRNA